GAUGAACGCUAGCUACAGGCUUAACACAUGCAAGUCGAGGGGAAACGACAUCGAGAGCUUGCUUUUGAUGGGCGUCGACCGGCGCACGGGUGAGUAACGCGUAUCCAACCUGCCCACCACUUGGGGAUAACCUUGCGAAAGUAAGACUAAUACCCAAUGAUAUCUCUAGAAGACAUCUGAAAGAGAUUAAAGAUUUAUCGGUGAUGGAUGGGGAUGCGUCUGAUUAGCUUGUUGGCGGGGUAACGGCCCACCAAGGCAACGAUCAGUAGGGGUUCUGAGAGGAAGGUCCCCCACAUUGGAACUGAGACACGGUCCAAACUCCUACGGGAGGCAGCAGUGAGGAAUAGUGGUCAAUGGACGAGAGUCUGAACCAGCCAAGUAGCGUGCAGGAAGACGGCCCUAUGGGUUGUAAACUGCUUUUAUAAGGGAAUAAAGUGAGUCUCGUGAGACUUUUUGCAUGUACCUUAUGAAUAAGAACCGGCUAAUUCCGUG
rnacentral:rRNA from 1 species